rnacentral:misc_RNA from 1 species
GAACUGCGAAACGUGAUGUGAACUGCACUCUUCGUGAAUCAUCCAAUCUUUGAACGCAAUUUGCACCUUGCGGCUUUUGUCACAAGGUAUACUUGUUUGAGUAUCCAAAACUAACUCACCUCCCUUUCGGGGCGAAGUGGACUUGAGAUUCGAUUCAUCUUUAUAUGAGUCGUCUCUUUAAAAGGAGUGGUCAUGAUGUGGAAGGUCUCCGUCUGGAACCUGACAGACUAUUGGGAUAACAUCCUGACGAUCGUCUGUCGGUUCCACCAUCUAUAUUAGGCGUUGACUGACCUAGACCAUAUGCAGAAGGCUAUCAUCAUAUUUUGUGGUGAUACGUGACUUCACGUGCCCAGUGUCACAGCUGUGGGACAGUAUCAAUGGAUCUCAAAUCAAGUAAGGAUACCCGCUGAACUUAA